CUAGCCUUUAGGCGUUGUUCAGAACUUUCCUCCAACCUUAUGCUUCUCCUGUCGGAACAGAUAUAUUUGUAAUGUCUUCAACCUUUACAACAAAACGCAAAACUGAAGGUCAUCUGGUACUUACUCCUACAAAGUCACCAUCUACUAAGAAAGGAACCUGUGUGUGUGUGUGUGAGUAGCACAUCUUCUCUAGCGAGGAUCUUGGUGAGGAGCCAGGGCAGUCAACACAGGUGGAGAUCAUCAGCCUCAUCAGGGGUUGGGAAUAAAGGAGCUGCAGAGUCUUCAAUCAGUGCUGGAGGAUUAACACUACCGGUUUCAUCAAGGAAAUUUCCAAGAAGGAGUUGUCCAUCUGUUUUCACCCUCCAAGUCUCUUACCUGCGAAGAAUCUGCCUGCCUGCUCCGCCCAUUCCCAGCCAUCAUUUAACUCCAUCUGGACCUUUGGCUCACAUUACCCUCACCAAACUCCACACGGGUUUCAGGACAACCUUCCCACACAGUUCACCAGAACCGUCAUACGAGUGCCGCCGUUUGUGGAUCACUUCCAUUAUCCUGAGACUCUACGUGGACCUGUCAAUUGUGUUCGAUCUUUUAAUAAAUCCCUUUUCCUAGACUUGGACUUGUUGAGUCUGCAUGUGGGUCAAAAGAUUAGAGCCAAUCAUGUCAGUCUAUGCCAGUUCAGCCCUUGAUGUCCCGAACAGCCUUUGCACCAAAAUCGAUCAAAUACUCUUUGAUUUCAUUUGGGGGGAAAAAGCCCCAUCUUAUUAGAAAGAAUGUUAUGAUCAAUAGACUAAGUUCUGGUGGUUUCAAUGUUCUGGACUUUAAUACCCUACAUUCUACAUUCAAAGUUAAGUGGAUCAAAAGAUAUCUGAAAAAUCCUAAUUCAAUUUGGCAUUGGAUUCCUACACAAGUUUUUAAAUCCUUUGGUGGCCUAGACAUUUUAUUAAGAUGUAACUACAAAAUAGAAAAGCUCCCUGUUAAUUUAUCUAGCUUCCAUAAACAACUGCUUUUAUCCUGGACAUUGGUUUAUAAAUAUAACUUUCCCCCUCAUAACUGUUUUAUUUGGAAUGACCAAAAUGUUUGCUUCAAGCAUAAAUCCUUAUUUUUUAAGAACUGGGUGGAUAAUGAUAUUCUAUUUGCAAAGCAAUUGUUUAAUGAGGAUGGUCAACUGUUUAAUUAUAGUGGAUUUCUUUGUAAAUAUAACUUCCCUGUAACCCCUAAAAAGUUUGCUGUUGUUUUCAAUGCUAUUCCAGCAGGUUUGAAAUUUCUCAUAUAAACUUCAGAUAGAGCCCAUGUCCAAUAGCCCAGAUUUCCACAGUUAUUUAUUGGUAAUUCAGACCUGUUCCUUAGUAUUAAAACCAGAAACAAACAUAUUAUAGAAAUAAUCCAAAGGAGUACUAUUACUAAACCUGCUUCAAUCUUUUUUUUGGAACAAUCUUUACUCAGAUAUUGAUUGGGAACAAACAUGGUUAUUGCCAAAAAAGUUUUUUUUUUUUUUUUUAAUUUCUCAAAUAAGGUACAGGAGGUGUCUCUUAAAAUUUUACACAGGUGUUACCCUUUAAAUUCAGUACUGACUAAAUAUAUUCCAAAUAUUGAUUCCUUUUGUCACAUCGAACAAGAAACAUUAACCCACCUUUUUGGGGAAUGCUCCUUCAGUAAAACAUUUUGGUGUGACAUCAAUAUUUUCAGUAAUCGGAAAUGUGAUAUACUUAUUCCUUUGAAUGUUAAAUAUGUUUUCUUUGGUAUUUCGAAUAAUAGAAUGUCUGGGAAAGAAUAUAUUAUAAACUUUCUUAUUCUGCUGGCCAAGUUCUACAUACAUGCCUGCAAAUUUGCUAAAAACAAAUCUAACCUCACUGUUUUUAGAUCUUAUUUGAGAUGUUUUUUAGACUCUUUUAAAUUGUGCACCAACUCUAAAGCUAUGAAACUUAUGGCCUUAAGUGAUGAAUUUGAUUUGUAAACUUUUAUUUCAUUUUGUUCUAUGGAUUUAUUACCCCAGCACCUCGAGCAUACUAAUACUGUCUGCAAUUGUAUAUUCUUUAUUUGUAAAUAAAGUUUAUUCAUAAAAAAAAGUUAAGCUGCCAUACUAUUGGCCGUACUGCUUAUUAAAAUAAAAGCAUCGAAUCAAAAACCAGAAGUCAAGUAUAUAUUAUAUGAAAUAAAACGAAAUAAAGGCAAUAAGCACAAAAGCGGUGAUACAACAAAUAAGGAGCUUAAUUUGGGGUUAUUUGCACACAAUAUAGCUGCAUGUUUGACUCAUGACUAACAAGUCUCAGGAGAGAUCUCUAUUUCUGCUGACAAUGAUCAGACCAGGUUAAAAUAUGACAUUAGCAGUUAGGAGAAUCCAAGCGAAAGUAGAACGAGGUGACAGAAUUAAGCACCCAAUCCAGAACUGGGCUCUAAAUCCAAACAGACAAUCAGAGAGCAAGAGUACGGUACAUCAUCUAAGAAUUUGCAACUCAUCCUUGAGGAGAUGCAGGUGUGAGAUGAGUAAUGAAUAACUUUUGGUGACAUGGUGAGCAAGAGAUAAGAUCACAGGUGACUGAGGCCACCUAGCUGUGAUAGCGAUGACAAAAGGGCAAGAAAAAAGAAAAAAAGAUAGAUCUCUGACCAAAAUUUGACUUUUAGUUUUGUUUAAUUAAAAAUAGCAAUUUAUAGCUCCAUUGAAACAAAUGUAGCUCAAAGUGCAUGCAAACAAAGUGAACAUGCAAUAAACAAAAUGUGAGAAUUAUUUGCAAAACAGAGUGAUACAAAUUUGUACAUUUGUAAUAGACAGAAUCUCUUAUCUGAUGUAACUGUGCUCAUUUAACAUAUACAGUCAUUAACCCUUUCGUAAUGGUCACUGCAGUGGACAGCUAUAAAAGCCAUUUUCUUGCGUUUCUUGCAGAUUUUUAUGUUGUAAAUGCACAGAGACCACUGAAGUGGACACCAUUGCAUCAUACAAUAAACUAUCAACUACUGGCUAUCCACAGCUAGUGCAAGAACAUUUUUGUGAAACAGCAUACGUUUCUUCAAAAUUGUCUAAAAUAAACUCGUCUCAGAAAGA